GCUGUGGUGGUGUAAUAGUUAGCGUGUCUGCCUAGCAAGCAAGAAGGCCUGGGUUCGAGUCCCGGCCGCAGCA